AUGGGGGGACCAUCCUCCAAGGCUAAAUACUCCUGAAUGACCGAUAGUUAACUUGUACCGUGAGGGAAAGGUUAAAAGAACCCUUAUAAAUGGAGUGAAAUAGAAUCUGAAACCGCUUGCAUACUAGCAGUAGGAGCAUGAUUUAGUCAUGUGACUGGGUACAUUUUGUAUAUUGGGUCGGCGAGUGAUUUGUUGUGGCGGGGUUACCUGACUAAGGGAUGCGUUGCGAA
rnacentral:rRNA from 1 species